rnacentral:rRNA from 2 species
UGGGUUUAGAACGUCGUGAGACAGUUCGGUCCCUAUCUGCCGUGGGCGCUGGAGAAUUGAGGGGGGCUGCUCCUAGUACGAGAGGACCGGAGUGGACGCAUCACUGGUGUUCGGGUUGUCAUGCCAAUGGCACUGCCCGGUAGCUAAAUGCGGAAGAGAUAAGUGCUGAAAGCAUCUAAGCACGAAACUUGCCCCGAGAUGAGUUCUCCCUGACCCUUUAAGGGUCCUGAAGGAACGUUGAAGACGACGACGUUGAUAGGCCGGGUGUGUAAGCGCAGCGAUGCGUUGAGCUAACCGGUACUAAUGAACCGUGAGGCUUAACCUUA